rnacentral:rRNA from 1 species
UACGUAGGUGGCAAACGUUAUCCGGAAUUACUGGGUGUAAAGCGUUCGUAGGCUUUUACAGUAGGUCCCUGAUUAAAUCCAGGAGCUCAACUCCUGAUCGGUUAGGGAAACCACUUGAAUAGAAGGGUAUCGAGGUAAGUGGAAUUUGUGGUGUAGCAGUGAAAUGCGUUGAUAUCACAAGGAACACCAAUGGCGAAGGCAGCUUACUAGAUACUACUUGACGCUGAGGAACGAAAGCGUGGGUA